CCCCGUCGCUAGGGGUGCCCCCAUCAGGGGCUGAGACGGCCGUGGUACCGGCCGGACCCUUGGAACCUGAACCGGGUCAUACCGGCGGAGGGAAGCGGCGGGCGCUGUGC
rnacentral:ncRNA from 1 species